rnacentral:rRNA from 1 species
UGGGGAAUCUUAGACAAUGGGCGAAAGCCUGAUCUAGCCAUGCCGCGUGAGUGACGAAGGCCUUAGGGUCGUAAAGCUCUUUCGCCGGGGAAGAUAAUGACGGUACCCGGUAAAGAAACCCCGGCUAACUCCGUGCCAGCAGCCGCGGUAAUACGGAGGGGGUUAGCGUUGUUCGGAAUUACUGGGCGUAAAGCGCACGUAGGCGGGCUGGACAGUCAGGGGUGAAAUCCCGGGGCUCAACCCCGGAACUGCCUCUGAUACUUCCAGCCUUGAGUCCGAGAGAGGUGAGUGGAAUUCCGAGUGUAGAGGUGAAAUUCGUAGAUAUUCGGAGGAACACCAGUGGCGAAGGCGGCUCACUGGCUCGGUACUGACGCUGAGGUGCGAAAGCGUGGGGAGCAAACAGGAUUAGAUACCCCCGUAGUCC